rnacentral:rRNA from 1 species
CCUACGGGAGGCAGCAGUGGGGGAUAUUGCACAAUGGGGGGAACCCUGAUGCAGCGACGCCGCGUGGGUGAAGGAGUGCUUCGGCAUGUAAAGCCCUAUCGGCAGGGAAGAAGCAAGACGGUACCUGACUAAGAAGCCCCGGCUAACUACGUGCCAGCAGCCGCGGUAAUACGUAGGGGGCGAGCGUUGGUCCGAUUCACUGGGUGAAAAGGGAGCGUAGACGGCCAAGCAAGCCAGGGGUGAAAGCGCGGGGCCCAACCCCGGGACUGCCGUUGGAACUGGAUGGGUGGAGUGCGGGAGGGGCAGGCGGAAUUCCUGGUGUAGCGGUGAAAUGCGUAGAUAUCAGGAGGAACACCGGCGGCGAAGGCGGCCUGCUGGACCGCGACUGACGUUGAGGCUCGAAAGCGUGGGGAGCGAACAGGAUUAGAUACCCUUGUAGU